AUCUCUGCCCAAAUAGUUUCCGUCAAAGUUUGUUGAUAUUUUGAAGGGCGCUAAGUUAAAAUUUUGCUGCAAGAAAACAAGAGUAUGUGACGGUGUAGAACUGUUUAAUUUGGUGGUCUUCAUGAUUAUGGAGACCGUUUAUACCACCACUGUGUUCCAUUCCAGUUGAGAAGCAUAAAGAGUGGUGAUGGUCAUCCGCUAUCUUAUUUAUGUGAUGAUAACUACACAACCUGGCCACCAACCACACAGAUCAACCACCAGUGGACCUAUGAAGAUAGCAAUAUAAGAAACUGUAGAGCAGUUCGAAGCAAAGAUUAGAGAUUAAGAAUAAUGGCCUUGCCAGUCUUUACCAUUAACCUUAACCACAAGAUUUUGCCUGGCCUUGUUACAAUUGGAAAGUAUGAUGGCACACAUGCAUGUCUCACUGCUGCCACAACAGCUGACCAGGUGCUUAUACACAGUCCACACCGAAGAGUUGGAUAUGAAACUGGACGCAUGGUCUCACAUGAGAGAAGUAAGGAAUUGGUACUUCUUAACAUCAACCAGCCAGUAACAGCCAUAUGUGCAGGACGCCUGGAUCCGAGCAAGGACUGUGAUAUAUUACUUGUAGGAACCGCUACUAAUCUUCUAGCAUAUGAUGUGGAGAGAAAUAUGGAUCUUUUCUAUAAAGAGGUGAUGGAUGGAGUGUCUGCCAUUACAAUUGGGAGGCUAGGUCAUUGGAAGAAUCCUUUGGUCAUUGUUGGUGGUAACUGCUCUAUUCAGGGAUUUGACUAUGAAGGUAAUGAGCAGUUUUGGACAGUCACGGGAGACACAGUCACCUCGCUUGCUUUAUUGGACUUUGAUGGUGAUGGUGAUAAUGAGUUAAUUGUUGGCUCUCGAGAUUUUGAUAUCCGUGUCUUCAAGGAGGACAAUAUAAUAAGUGAACAUGCAGAACUUGAAGCAGUAACUGUGCUGACCCCUCUUAAUGGAAGUGGAUUUGGCUAUGGAUUGGGUAAUGGCACUGUUGGUGUAUAUCAGAAACUUCAGAGGGUUUGGAGAGUUAAGUCAAAAAGUCGUGCUGUUAUCAUCUAUAGCUUUGAUGUGGAUGGUGAUGGUAUGGAAGAACUGAUAACUGGUUGGACAAAUGGGAAGGUGGAUGCCAGAAAUAGCAGAACAGGUGAAGUCAUCUUCAAGGAUACAUUGCCUCAUUCUAUAGCAGGGAUUGUAGAAGGUGAUUAUCGACUUGUUGGAAAGAAUGACCUCCUUGUUUGCACUGUUGAGGGAGAAGUGAGGGGCUACAAACAGGCAAAAAUGAUGGGAACAAGACCUGAUGUGAAUGUGGAACAGGAGACAGUCAGGGAAUUGUUAUCAAGGAAGCAGGCAUUGCUUACAGAGCUUCGUAUGUAUGAAAGUAAUGCACAGCUCUCUGGCAUUGCACAUAGUGAUUAUGCUGAAAGUAUUGCUCAACAAUUGCAGCAGCAAGCUGGUGUAAUACCUGCCAAGACUCGACUGCAGACUGGAAUCUCCAUUAAUAUGGGAAAUGAAAAGAAACCGGGUCACAUUGAAGUCGCUCUUGCAACAAACAAUGAAACUGUAAUAAGAGUUGUAAUGGUAUUCGCUGAGGGCAUAUUUGAAGGUGAGACACAUGUUAUCCACUUAAAAGAAUCAGAAAUAUCAUCUAAUGUGAAUGUUGCACUCUAUCCUCCAAAGGAUGUGCCAGUAGACAUUCACAUAAAGGCCUUGGUGGGUUAUCGUGGAAGCCAGCAUUACCAUGUUUUUGAGCUUACAAGGCAGCUACCACGUUUUGCUAUGUAUGCUUUAUGCGAGGAGCCGGGUAAUUUACCCUCCAGCUAUGUGUCAUUCUCUUUAAACGAAAGAGUGCAGAGGAUUGCAAUGUGGAUUAAUCAGAAUUUCCUGGUUUUGUCAGAUAUUGAAGCAAACAAUGAACUGAAUGUGACAUUUCUUUCACUAAGAGACAACACGAGAGUAAAUAUAUCAAUGCAGCCAGAAAAUAAGUUUGUUAUUGCAACACACAGCAUGGCUGUUGCAGGUGAUAUCAUACAAUCUCUUGCUGCUUUUUUAAAUUUGGAUGAAUUGCAGGUAAAGGCAGAAUUUUCUGAAGAAGAACAACGAAUUGCUGUUUUGCUUCAGCAAGUAAGUGAUCUUCAAGAAACCAGGCUUCGUUUGGCAGCAGAAAUGGCAGACCAUUCUGGACUUGUUCGUAGCUUGGUGAUGCGUGCAGAAAAUGCCCGGCACUUGGGAGAUGUUAAGGAUGUUCGGAGAUGGUAUGCAGAACUGAAUUACAUUAGCACUGACUUGGUACGGGGCUAUAACAUACGCUGCACGAAUCAUCAAGAACUUGUAGAAGCUCUGAAACAAGUCAAUCUCAUAAUUGAAAAGGCAGCUAAGCUAAGAGUUGGCAGGUUUAAAGUCUCAGUCAUCAAUGCUUGUCGUAUGGCACUGAAAAAUAACAAUGUCGGUCUGCUUGUAAAAGCGAUAAGAAUAGGAGAAGUAUGAUUACAAUAUACCUUGAAUCAGACACAUAUAAGCUCACAAAUAGGCAUCUAGAGGGCAGGAGUUUCCUAGGAGGGAGGAAGCAUAACGGCACAUGCCACAGCUGCAGCCAAGUACCAUAUUGAGGACAUUAGUAGCCAUCUCACCUGCCGGCGCAACAUCCAGCAGGAGCCAAGCACUUCCACAGUUCCACCCACUGCCAUGUGGCAACAGCUGGGCUUACGUCACUGGCCGCGGUCCAAUAUGCUUUCAUGUGACAUAGAUUUGAGUGCCAAAACAGUGACUACAUAAUGGUGUAUUCAGCUGUUAAGAGGUUUUGUUUAUGCUCUCUUGCACAUGUUGAAACACAAUGUUAAACAAAUAUCCUGAAAACCACUACCUGUUUGAUAUCUUAUUUUUUGUAAGAAGGAAAGACAAAUAAAAGAAGAUAAGGAGCUGGAAUAACACAUUUCUAACACAAUGACCACAUUGCCUUUGAAGUUUGUCUGUGCUUAAAAAUAUCCAUGUCAUCUCUUAAAUAUACCCUGUCCUCACUGUGCUGACUUUUACUGUCAUGUAAUUGAGAUCACAGUUUUGUUACUCUUAUUCAUACUUAUGUGCUGUGUAAACUUGUGUGUGUUACUUAUA